AUUCCAGGUAAUGAACUUGCACAGUACAGAUUAAGAUAACGAGGUUGCAUGCAGGGGAUUUUUUAUCCACCGCCAGGAGACCAGGGGAGGAUAAAAAUUCCCAGGGAUUUUUCCCCCCACCUGGGGAUGUGGCAUUGGUCUAGUGUUGUACAGACUUAGAUGAGGAGGGUCCUUCUGAUGGCAGAUGUUCAUCUCUGGGAUUGGAUAACUGUUUUAUGCAGACAAGAAAAACUACUACUGUCCUGACUUUGAUGGGACCCAAGAUGUCAUAAACAGAUCUCGGGGAAGACUGUAGCAUGCAGGCAACUAGGAAAUGAUGUAGCGCUGUAUAGACAUGGAUGAUGAGAGACCAAAGACGGCAAAAAUUAUCUGGAGGUGGACAAUUGCAUGCAGACAGACAGCUUGUUUGCUGUGAAACAUUACAGUAGAAGAUAGCUACACAAUACAUAUUGAAAUGGUUCGUCUGCAAGCAGAUUCAAGCACCGACCACGAACAGUGUUAUUUUUAUGUUCAAUGUAUUUUGUAUUGAUUAUUAUGUUAAAUAAAAUGAUUAUAUA